rnacentral:tRNA from 1 species
GGAGAUAUAACUCAGUUGGUAGAGUGCUUGCCUUGCAUGCACAAGGCCUUGGGUUCAAUCCUCAGUACCACCC